rnacentral:lncRNA from 1 species
UGGAGAUGGAGGUGGCCUGUAAAGCUUUGCAGGAUCGAGGCUUCCCAAAUCAUGCACAAUUAAAUGGAUCCCUUCUGAAGGAUGGUGGUCAACUAGAAUUCUUUAAUAGCCUCCAGGUGGAAGAUCAAGAGGCCUCCUUCACAGUAAGCACUAAGUGCCAGCCAAAGUUUAUUUUAGAAAUGGAGUUGAGGCAUGGGUUUUCAUUCUUCAACAGGAUCCCCCAAGAAAAUAGGCUGAUUGUCCAUUGUGGGAAACGACUCGAGCGUGCUAUAAACUUGGAAGUGAAAUCUGGCCUUUGCCAACUUCAAGCCAACUUGGAGAUGGAAGCAGGAAACCGAUGCCAGUGGCAAGCAGCGAUGGAGAACUCUUGCAAAAUGAUACAGGAUCUUGGAAUUCCAACAAAAAUGAAUGGAUCGGGGCAUGUGUUAAAAGAUAAGAUCAACCUUGAUUCUCAAGUGGUGCUUGCUGUUGGUGAAAACACGGCCUCUGCAUUCCUCCUUUUAAAAGGCACGGCUACUAGGCGAGAAUUUCAUGCGCUCCUGGAACAACACAUCAAAGGGGCCAUUAACUCUGGCAUUCCUGCAAGGGCAGAAGUGGAUUUAAUUUCAGAAAAGAGUCGUACCUUUUGUGAAAGGCUGCUUCAGUUCAAGGUGGAUGGCCAGCAGGUUUUGGCGUCUUCUUCUCUCAAGCGUAGGAGAGCCGGCGUGGCUUAUUCUGCCACUGUCGCACAGCCUUUUAACUUUGCGAUGAAACAUGUGGAGUUCAGCUCCCUGACCCAAAGCCGCAAAGGAGC